AUCGCUUCUCGGCCUUAUGGCUAAGAUCAAAGUGUAGUUCUUAUCAGCUUAAUAUCUGAUACACUCCGCAUCGCGGAGUCAGAAUAUUAACCUGAUUUUUGGAGUCAGGCGGAUCGCUGGGGCUCGCUCCACUUCCGCCGCGAGUCGGUCCGGCACUGCAGUGCCGCCGGAAACGGCUCAAUUUGC